AAUUAACUAUUUGUGUAGCUUGGAAAGCCGUCCUUUAUGGGUUGUUGAAGCCACCCCCGUUGUAGGGAAAGUUUCGUAUAUAUAGUUUAGUUUGCUUUCAUGGAGUCUCUUCCUCUGUUCUUUUGUACUGUGGAGGUCCCUGGCAUGUGGGAUCCAAUUCUUUCUUCAUUCCAAUUUUUUGUCCAUCGUUUCCAUAUAACUUCGGCACCAUCAGUAUUUGGUACACUCUCAGAAAUUUCACGAGAAAGAAAAAUGGUAAGCAAGGACAUAACAAUAUUAUUA
rnacentral:lncRNA from 1 species